CCAGCCGUAAACUAUGCGCGUUAGGUGUAUCGGUGACCACGAGUUACCGAGGUGCCGAAGGGAAACCGUGAAACGUGCCGCCUGGGAAGUACGGUCGCAAGGCUGAAACUUAAAGGAAUUGGCGGGGGAGCACCACAACACGGUGGAGCCUGCGGUUUAAUUGGACUCAACGCCGGGAAGCUCACCGGAUAGGACAGCAGAAUGAUUGCCGGGCUGAAGACCCUGCACUGACUAGCUGAGAGGAGGUGCAUGGCGUC
rnacentral:rRNA from 1 species